UUUAAAAUUUCCAGGAUAAAGUAAAUUUAACCGUAUCUAACCAUAUAUAUAUGAAGCUCUUUGAAAAGCUUGUGACUAUGCACAAGUUUUGCUGGGUAAAAAACUUUUCAGAAAUGUACGAUUUGUUAAUAUUGCACAAUUUUAGUUUUUGCUAAACUUUGUCUUAACAACUGGAUUUUUGCAAAACAAUUUUUUAAAGAUUAUGAAAAAAACUCAAGGGCUUGACAAGAUAUAGAAACUGUUAUAGAGUGUCGUGUUUGAGAUAUCAAUCCUAGUUAUUAUAUCAUUAAAGUUUUGUUAAAUUUUAUGGGGAUCCCGCAAACAACCCUCUAGCAAACUAGUUUAAUAUUUAGUAUACUAUACAAGCAACUCUUUAAAAUGGAGGAUAUUACGCUGAUAGUCCCUUUAAAACUGGUUUACACUUGAACUUGAACUAGGCUUUUACACUUUUCCCCCCAGUCCCCGUAUUACAUAAUACUGCCACACUGUGGACUAACCAGGGCAAUUUGUGCUUGUUUUCUUCAAUUUCAAUUCAAUUACGUUUCGGUCUUAAAGCAGUCAAUUCAACUUGCGAGUUCUCCUUUUUAUUCUUUUUCAUUUACAGCGCAUCCACCGACAUCAAAGUAUGAUAGAGAAUAAGCAACAGAUUUCUGGUAAAUAGGUCAAAUAGGGAUAGAAAGUCACAGCUUGCUGAGACCAGUGCAGAACUGUCAAAUCAGGGUUGUUUGACAGCUAAAAUGGAUAACAAAAUGGAAAGUCGCAGUCGCCGACAUGAAUUAGUUAUUCGUCAAUAUAUGAUGCCUACUUGGUGUGCAUUCUGUAAACAGAUGCUUCUUGGGCUGAUUAGGCAGGGAAUGCAUUGCAAAGUCUGUAAACUGGACUUUCAUGACACCUGCGCAACCAAGACUAAAUCUGAAUGCAAUCCAGUACACUGAUAGAUUUUUCAAACAGAUGUUACAUAUGAAAAUAUUUCUGCAGUUUUCAAAAAAUAAAUUCAAAGAAAUAGCUUUCAGUACAGGUUGUCCCACGAAACUAGACAGGAGACCGACGACAUUUGAAAGUCUUCUUUGAGACUUUAAAUUAUUUGAGGUAUUAAACUGUCAACCUACUUUUACAUGUAUGAUUCUUGAAAUAAUAAUCAACACAUUCUCCUUGGUACACCCUGUAAAUGGAAAAUGUUAUCAAUGGUAAAACAAUGCUGGUCUUAACGUACAAAUUAUGAUGAAUGUUUAUUGUCCAUACAAGUGAUACGUACAGCUAGUUCGUCACUCAUCCGUGCCGUAGGUUAAUUUUAUGCUUACUGAAUAUGAAAAAUGUUUACUAAGAUGCUAAUCUAAAUAUAUGCUUGUCUAUGUUUGUUUGA